rnacentral:lncRNA from 1 species
CUUUGUACUGAUGUCCUUGUAGAAGGUGGGACAUCUCUCCAGAUGAGCAGCGGAGGACAGGAGUCUUCAAAGGUCUGGGCAGGUUCUCUUCUAGGCCUCUGACACUCAAAGACAAAGAAAGCAUCAAAACCAGAUGUGUUUCCCUGCCCAUGGCAAACCCUCACCUUUCCCUUCCUCACAGUCCUUCCUGCCAUCACAUUGCAGCGUUGAAACAACAUCACAUUCACCUUUGCCUAAUCUGGCAGAAGGGUGCAGCUCUUUCGAUUAUCUCCCUUAAGCUUUCAAGUCACCAGUGCCUGUGUGACACAGGGAACUGUCAACAUUGCACCUGCUGUGCCAUGCUCAUGGCUGCACAGAGGCAGUUGCCAGCAGCUGAUGCCCACAAGUACAGCCAGCCUGGACUUAUUUGAUUACAUAUCUUUGUGCUGAUGUCCUUGCAGAAGGUGGGACAUCUCUCCAUCUGAGCUGCAGAGGACAGGAGGGUUCCAAGAUCUGGGUACGUUCUUUUCUAGGCCUCUGGCUCUCAAAGACAAAACAAGAGGAGACACAAUCUGUAGCAUUACAGCCUCCCCUGGCUCCAUGCCCAGCUCCCAGCCCUUCCUUUCCAAAACAUCUGUCCCACUCUCUCACUUUUGUCACUGCGCAAUAUUUUGCUCUUUUCUAGGCGGGGCUGGGAGAGGGGUGCAGCCUUUUCUACUAUCUCCCUAUGGCAGCCAUGUCACCAGUGCUUGUGUGACAUAGACAAUUUUCUGUGUUCUGCCUGAUGUGGCAGGCCCAUGUCAUCACCCAGGCAGUUGCCAGCAGCUGAUGCCCACAAGUACAGCCAGCCUGGACUUAUUUUGAUUACAUAUCUCUGUAUCGGUGUCCUUGAGGAAGGUGGAACAUCUCUCCAGCUGAGCAGCAGAGGACAGGAGGGUUUCAUGGUCCGGGCAUGUUCUCAUCUGUCCCUCUGGCCCUCAAAGACAAAGGAGGACAACACGCAGUCUGUUGUAACACAGCCUGCCCUGCCUCUCAGAUCAGAAUAUGACAAUAAUAGAAUUGGCAAGACCCAAACCAUGGAAUUUAAGAAUAAGAAAUUCUGCAGUUCAGAACUAGCAUAUAUGAGCAAUGUCUUCUAUGUUUCACAUCCUUUUUCAGACGAGGUCAUUCCUCUCUGCCUGCAAUCCUCCAUGUACCUUUUCCUGUCCAGCAAAACUUUCUGGUAUACCAGGAAAGUAAAGGUCACAGUUUUCAGACUGUAAACCCAUGACACGUGGUUGAAGUUGGAUGGAUUCAGUAAAUUAAUGCAGUAAAUCAUUUUGAUAUGUCAAUGACCAAAACGCAAAACAGCAAAAGGAGUUCUUCUGUGGCUGCAAAUUGCUUUCUUCAGCCUGGUACUGAUAUGACAGGGAGCCACUCUACCACUGGAUUCUACAAAUACGUCAGGAGGCUAUAUACUGCUUGAUGUGUCAUGCUGUCCCCUGUACUCCCUGGAAGACCACUAUGAGGUAUACAUGUGCAACCACAAAAGUGACUGAGAAAACUCUACUCCUGUACAUUUCAUUAUAACCAGCAGGUCACUUCAACUGAUCCCCCUUCCACAAAUCCUUUGUCUAGUACUCUAAAUUUGAUGGACAUCAUGGGGCUAAAUGAUUGAAGACUUUAGAACAAGUCUAAGUUCAUUAAAAUUCCAGAGUCUUCUACUGCACGGUGAGCAUCUCAGUCAGACUUACAUGAUCAAGAAUGCUGUACUUUUUACUGUUCCAUAGGUCAAACUUCCCUCCAUUCAUUGUCAAUGAAUUGGAGUAAUGGCUGUGUUCUAUGCAUCUAUCCAAUCUUUUCUUGUCCUGAAGUGUAAAUUCAUAAGAAGAUAUAUACCAAAAUUAGAGAAGACAGUGGAGAAAAAUGAGAUGUCAGCUUCUCGUAUAUAUUAUUUAAUAGUAGCCACCAGUUGCUGCCAUUAAUUUUACAAGUGAUUUUUUUUUAGCAACUCUUUGACAUAAAGGGGAAAAACUGCAUUGUUACCUUAGAAAUUUUUCAAUUUUUUUUUCUUUUGAUAGCUAUUUUUUUUUAAUACAAUAUGUCAAAUAAUGUGGUCUGAAUCUUUGGGAAAUAGAGAUAAUUUCAGAUUCUGUUAUAUAAUUUUAUAAAUCCUGUAAUACUUUAACAUUUGUUCAAACUUCUGAAACUACAGUGCCUCUGUUUCUGCAGGAAGUAUUAAUUAUUGGCUGCUGUUUUUCCCAGAGCCAAAUGGUGUGAUUU